ACAGCUCGUUGCGUCAGCCAAGCGUGUUUCUCAUCUAAUUCAUCACGGAUGCCUAGUUCCCUGCCUGGCAGAGUUAAGUUAUCCACCUCUGGUGACUCCCCGCGAGUUAGCCGAGCUCCUGCGAGAACAGCCACACUGCUGUGUCCCCGCUGGCUCUGCACUCGCUCGCACGUGGGGCUGUGGGUUCUGGGGGCCUGUCCCGUCGCUCUGAGCGAUGAAUUGUGGGAGAGCUUCUCUGUCCUUUCUGGGCACUCUAGGGGAACAGUGGGAGGGCACCGGAGGACUGGUGACACGCAAGUGGCACAUGCCUGGAUCCACGCUACAGAGGGGUUGUGUUGACAACUGAUAAGUUGAUCUCACUUGAGUUUUCCCUGUACCCCCUCUUGGACGGGCCAGCUCCAGGUAACAGCACCACCACACUUGAGUUAAGGGAUUUUUAUGUGGAUGGGAUUCAAGUUACAGGCACAUCGGAGAUAUAACUUGAGUUAAUGCUGCAGUGAAGACAAGCCCUUCGUCUCCUCUCAGAGGCAUAUUUCAAUCUAUUCUUUUUGUUGCAGGUGACUUCCCAUCUCCUACACUGUCCCUGAGCACCUCUUCAGCUCAGGCGGGGGACCCCGUCUUGGCUCAGUGUUCCCUUCAUCCCAACAAUGUAGCUGCUCUAGUUAUUUUCUGUCAGGAUGGCAAACAAAUCUCAAGCCAAUUGACCACGUCAGGCCGGUCACUGCCUGUAUUGACAUGACAUCUCUGUGCGGAGCUCAGGCCAGUUUCGAUGUAUGUACCAGUACAGGAUCAACCAGAACCAGGUGAACAAUUCUCAUCUCAGUCUCCCCCGGACCUUGAAUGUACCAGGCCAGAAGCUGAUCCCGAGCACCGGCCCCAGCCCUGAGGAUCCACCGUCUCAGGAAGCCAUUCCCCCCUCUCA